CAGGUGAUUGGGUUUGGGUGGUGGGCGGGGCCAAAUGGUAUAUGAGCCCCAGGCAAGGCAUGAGGGAGCUCAUUGUGCCUGGGCUGCUCUUAGGGGUAAGUGCUUUGUUUUUCCUUCUGUCAGUUGCAGGGUUCUUUAGGUGGGUUGGAGUCUAUGGACUGAUGCGUACCGGUCUCUACUUGGAAAUGCACACCUUUUUGAGGUCCCUGAGGAUUUUCACAGAUUGAUGGGGCUUGUUGUGAGUCUUGGCCUGUAUGUCAACUAUUAUCCAAGUUCCAAGUGUGGUGGUGAAGUGAUGGAGCAGGGUUUAGGAGAACUGGAUCCUGGAAGCUCCCUGUGCAAGCAUGUAUCUGAAAAGAGCAGCAGUAGGCAGGUAAGGUGGAGUCUUUUUCAGGGUGAGGGACGCUUUGUUAUAUUUCUGGAGCUUUUGCCUGCGGUUUGGCUGGCUGUAGAGUCUUUAGAGCUUGCAGCCUUCUAGAUGUGAAGUGCUUGGAAUUCACGUACUAGAGGUAUGUUUAGGAGGGGUUGCCGGCUAACUUGUGUUUGGGAAAUGGUGGGGUACGGUUCCUUUUUCUGGGGUUCUAUUUUAAUCUGUAGAUAUAUCAAGGCAUUUGCGUAACUGUCCAGAGGAUUGACAAAGAGCCUCAGUAUGCAUGGCAAGGGCCUUGACUGCAUAAGGGCAGUCUAAGGAAGAGGCUGAGCAGGGUCACCU